CGGCGAAUGACCGUCACAAUCUACGACGCCGGCGAUCAUGUGUUGGUGGAGUCGACCCUGCCUGGCUCGGAGGUGGAAAGCCGCCAGCUUCCGGUUGUUGCGCGUACGCAAGACAAAGUCACCGCUCAAAGUGAUGAGGACAGGACACCGUUCUCUCUGGUCUUGCUGACGUCGUACAUAGCGGGUCUGCCUCCGCAAGUUACUGCCAUCCUCAGCUACCAAACCUACGAGGCUGACCGCUCUUGGGCAUUGUCCUGCGCAUCCAGGUCCAUAGAGUAAGCCUUACCGCGCCACAGAUUUUCCCCGCCUCUGCAUACGCAUCUUCCGCCGUCUUGCCCUUCGCCAGAGCUUGGGCGAAUGCUUCGU
rnacentral:misc_RNA from 1 species